rnacentral:other from 1 species
GUUCACUGCCGUAAAGGCAGCUUAGAAA